rnacentral:rRNA from 1 species
UAGUCUCAGUUCGGAUUGGAGUCUGCAACCCGACUCCAUGAAGCUGGAUUCGCUAGUAAUCGCGCAUCAGCCACGGCGCGGUGAAUACGUUCCCGGGCCUUGUACACACCGCCCGUCAAGCCAUGGAAGCCGGGAGUGCCUGAAGUGCGUGAGCGCAAGCAGCGCCCUAAGGUAAAACCGGUGACUGGGGCUAAGUCGUAACAAGGUAAC